GUAGGCUUAGUUAAAAAAUAACAUCAGCUUGUCAAGCUGAAAUUAUCCAACACUCAGAUACCCUACU
rnacentral:tRNA from 1 species